rnacentral:lncRNA from 1 species
GGUGCUUCACCAUGCUUCUGCCUGUACCAGUGUACAGAAUAUAAAGCCUUGGAGGAACUGCAGUUGAUGACAGCAUCUUCCCCUUCUCGGAGGAUCACGGCUUGAGGACUCUGCACUGGUUGUUGGCUUCUCACCCCUGAUCAGAAAGACAAUCGAAUGAGAUGCUCAAUCUCGUGAAGGGAAGGGUGAUUUUCUCUCUUCCUUCCUUAUUUAAAACAUUAAGCAUCACCACAUAAUUACGGUACAUUUUCCUCACUUCUUAGGUCUGGUUCUUAAAAGGGCCCUUCCCAAGACAGAAAGCUAUUGUCAUUAAGAUGCUGUCAUAUCACAACCUCUCCCAGACUGAAUCGUGUACUCACAGGUCAACUGCCACAACAAGGUGCCUGAAAGCACUUUCAGGAGAGUCUCCAUCCUUGGCCUGCCAGAAUAUCCAGUCAGCUUCUGAAUGGGCUUCCUUAACAGGAGUUGCUUUGAACUCAGAAUGAGGCCUGUUGCAAUUGCUUCCAGGAUAUUGCAACUUUGGGGGCAACCAAUCAGAGACACAUCACAACAGUUUAACUGCAGAGAACUAAAUGCAUCUACCUAGAAUACUUUUUAAACAGCUCUCCCCUGUGGCCAGACUGAGGAAUGUUGAUUAAACUGUGGAUUUUGGCUUUUCUUGAGUAAGUUUUCAUACAGGA